rnacentral:rRNA from 1 species
CCGCGGGAUUAGAGUUUGAUCCUGGCUCGAAUCAACGCUGGCGGCGUGCCUAACGCAUGCAAGUCGCGCGCGAAUAGGGGGCAACUCCUUAGUAGAGCGGCGAACGGGUGAGUAACACGUGGGUAAUCUACCUUCGAGUGGGGAACAACACCGGGAAACUGGUGCUAAUUCCGCAUGACAUCGUCGGGGCUUCGGUCCUGACGAUCAAAGCCGGGGAUCGCAAGACCUGGCGCUUGAAGAUGAGCCCGCGUCCGAUUAGCUAGUUGGCGGGGUAAUGGCCCACCAAGGCUUCGAUCGGUAGCCGGCCUGAGAGGGCGGACGGCCACACUGGAACUGAGACACGGUCCAGACUCCUACGGGAGGCAGCAGUGGGGAAUUUUUCGCAAUGGGGGCAACCCUGACGAAGCAACGCCGCGUGGGGGAUGAAGGUCUUCGGAUUGUAAACCCCUGUCGACUGGGACGAAUGUAGUCCGGCCUAAUAUGCCGAGCUAUUGACUGUACCGGUGGAGGAAGCCACGGCUAACUCUGUGCCAGCAGCCGCGGUAAUACAGAGGUGGCAAGCGUUGUUCGGAAUUACUGGGCGUAAAGGGCGCGUAGGUGGUUCGCUAAGUCCCAUGUGAAAGCCCUCGGCUCAACUGAGGAAUGGCAUGGGGAACUGGUGGGCUAGAGUUCGGGAGAGGGAAGCGGAAUUCCGGGUGUAGCGGUGAAAUGCGUAGAUAUCCGGAGGAACACCGGUGGCGAAGGCGGCUUCCUGGACCGACACUGACACUGAGGCGCGAAAGCUAGGGGAGCAAACGGGAUUAGAUACCCCGGUAGUCCUAGCUGUAAGCGAUGAGCGCUGGGUGUAGGAGGUUAUAACCCCUCCUGUGCCGA